rnacentral:rRNA from 1 species
AGAGCGUAAGGGGAAUACCUUGGCUCUCAGAGGCGAUGAAGGACGUGAUAAGCUGCGAUAAGUUGCGGGGAAUGGCACAAACAUUUUGAUCCGCAAAUUUCCGAAUGGGGCAACCCGGCAUAUUGAAGAUAUGUCACACUGUAAAGUGAGCAAACCUGGUGAACUGAAACAUCUAAGUAACCAGAGGAAUAGAAAACAAAAGUGAUUCCGCUAGUAGUGGCGAGCGAACGUGGAAUAGCCCAAACCUAAAUUGUUACGGCAAUUUAGGGGUUGUAGGACCUCAACAUUUAAUGCUAAUAGAACUAGAAUUUACUGGAAAGUAAAACCAAAGAAGGUGAUAGUCCUGUAUAGGUAAUUGAUGUUAUUAAUAGAGGUAUCCUGAGUAGUACGGAGCACGUGAAACUUUGUAUGAAUUUGCCAGGACCAUCUGGUAAGGCUAAAUACUCCUGAGAGACCGAUAGUGAACUAGUACCGUGAGGGAAAGGUUAAAAGUACCCUGAAUAAGGGAGUGAAAUAGAUCUUGAAACCUUACGCUUACAAGCGGUCGGAGCCCAUUUAUGGGUGACGGCGUGCCUUUUGCAUAAUGAGCCUACGAGUUACCUUUGCUAGCAUGGCUAAUCCGUUAAGCGGAGCAACCGAAGCGAAAGCGAGUCUGAAUAGGGCGUUUAGUUAGCAGUGGUAGACGCGAAACCUAGUGAGCUAUCCAUGGGCAGGUUGAAGCUGUAGUAACAUACAGUGGAGGACCGAACCCGUAGACGUUGAAAAGUCUUGGGAUGACCUGUGGAUAGGGGUGAAAGGCCAAUCAAACUAGGAAAUAGCUCGUACUCCCCGAAAUGCAUUUAGGUGCAGCGUUACAUUAAGUUACAUAGAGGUAGAGCUACUGAUUGGAUGCGGGGGUGUCACAACCUACCAAUUCCUGACAAACUCCGAAUGCUAUGUAAUGUUUUGUGGCAGUGAGGGCAUGGGUGCUAAGGUCCAUGUCCGAGAGGGAAACAACCCAGACCAUCAGCUAAGGUCCCAAAAUAUAUACUAAGUUGAAUUAAACGAGGUUUGACUACCUAGACAGCUAGGAUGUUGGCUUGGAAGCAGCCAUUCAUUUAAAGAGUGCGUAACAGCUCACUAGUCGAGAGGUCGAGCAUGGAUAAUAAUCGGGCAUAAGUAUAUUACCGAAGCUAUGGCAUUAUUUAUAAUGGGUAGGGGAGCAUUCUAUUGACGUUGAAGGUGAACUGUGAGGUUUGCUGGAGUUUAUAGAAACGAAAAUGUAGGCAUAAGUAACGAUUAGGGGUGCGAGAAACACCCCCUCCGAAAAACUCAGGUUUCCUCAGCUAUGCUAAUCAGCUGAGGGUUAGUCAGGACCUAACACGAACCCAAAUGGGGUAGUGGAUGGACAACCAGUUAAUAUUCUGGUACCUGCUUAACAACAAAAGCGACGGAAAAGAAAUGUUAUUGCGUACUGACGGAAUAGUACGUUGAAAUUACUUUUAAGGUAAUGAUAGUACAUCAAAUCUACGGAUGAGGUGAUAAUAUAGCGGAUCUUUUUCCAAGAAAAACAAGUUAAGCAGCCUGUACCUUAAACCGACACAGGUAGUUGGGAUGAGGAUUCUAAGGAGCUCGAGAGAUUCAUGGCUAAGGAACUAGGCAAAUUUGACCCGUAACUUCGGGAUAAGGGUCGCCUACUUUUAGUAGGCCGCAGUGAAAAGGUCCAAGCGACUGUUUAUCAAAAACACAGGACUCUGCUAAGUCGAAAGAUGAUGUAUAGGGUCUGACACCUGCCCGGUGCCGGAAGGUUAAGUGGAAAUGUUAGCUUCGGCAAAGCAUCGAAAUGAAGCCCCGGUAAACGGCGGCCGUAACUAUAACGGUCCUAAGGUAGCGAAAUUCCUUGUCGGGUAAGUUCCGACCUGCACGAAUGGUGUAACGAUUUGGACACUGUCUCAGCCAUGAGCUCGGUGAAAUUGUAGUAUCGGUGAAGAUGCCGAUUACCCGCAACGGGACGGAAAGACCCCGUGAACCUUCACUACAACUUAACAUUGAUUUCGGAUAAAUAAUGUGUAGAAUAGGUGGGAGACUUUGAAGCAACUUCGUUAGGAGUUGU